AGGGGAGAAAGAGGUCAGAGCACAGGGUAGGGCAGUGUGAGCAGAACCAGCGGUGUCGUUUGACUUAGCAAACGAGGAUCGGAUGUCGUCGACCUUCUUUUCAAAAUGGUAUAGUCUUAAACCAAUGUAUAAAGCCUAAACCCCCCCUCCAAUAUAUUUCUGGAUGAUGUAGAAGACCCCCCCCCUCUGCAGGAUCAGGUACUGCAUAGGCUAUUAGCUAAAGUAAGGUGCAUUCUUGUACACACAUCACCAGAGGUUCCCUAACAUUACUUAAUGACCACAAUCUGUUUUCUUUCUAGACGAUACUGAAAACAAAAUGCACGGCGAACUGGGAGCUGUGAACUGGGAAGCAGAUGUUCUUCUAAAGAACACCCUAGAGGCAGCAAGAUGGGGUGAACGCCAACCAUUUAAAGGCACCGUUUCCCUCCCUAGUGUAAUUGGGAUGGACGAGGAAGACCGCAAUUACAACCCUUAAAGAACUACAGUUGUAUGAUGGCCUGGAUGAAGAAUAUUCUCCUCAAGGAACCAUUCAUGUUCUCGUUCCAGUUACAGAGACAUUAUGAGAUGUUCUAUGUGGAGGCAGUUGACUACAAUAAAAUGACUGCCUCUUUUGAGGAGCAAGAGUGAAGCCAUUUUUGAGGAGUGGUCAAACCUUGUUUUUCUCUGCUGUGUUAAUUGUUUCAAUUGUUAAUUGUGUUGUUUAGUAAAGAUUAUGUAGAAGUCA